rnacentral:lncRNA from 1 species
GCGCGUGCGCAGCAGUAGUCCCGUCACCUCACUCGUCUUCUCUGGGCUCCGGGAAGCGGUUUGGGAACCUGGGGGGUCUGCUCGGAAAGUGAAGGAGGCGCACCUGGGUUACCGUGAAACAAAUGGACCCUUGUGAGGUAGGAAGCAGGGAGUCUCUAUAAACAGGAGUCUUAACCUGGAGGAGAGCACCGCCUGACCUUAAACCUGUCUCCAGAACUUCAGAGCAGAGACAGAAGAACUCAGAAAGGAGCAGAUCCUAGAUGCGUAAGGUCAGAAGUUGUUCUUAAUCUCCCUGCUGAGAAUGAGCCAGUCUUGGAAAUGACGCCACCUCUAGAAGCCAGCAGACUUAUGACACUUGGGAGUUUGGACAGCCUUGAGAAGAACAAGCUGCACCACAGUUCUCAACCCUCCCAAGAGCACAAAAUGAACAUACCUCAGGCAGCAGUGUCAUUCAAAGACGUGACUGUGGCGUUCACCCAGGAGGAGUGGCAGCAGCUGGACUCUGCGCAGAGGACCCUGUACAGAGAUGUGACGCUGGAGAACUACAGCCACCUCGUCUCAGUGGAUUUUAUAAAAACGGAUUCCUAAAAUAGGUACCUUUUUUGGUCUGGCUUCUUUUGUUUAGCAUGAUGCUUUUGAGACUUGUGCAUGUGUGUCUUAUCCCUAGUUUAUUCUUUUUAUCCUGAGCAGUAUUCCUUUGUAUGCAUAUACCACAGUUUGUUAUCCUUUCAAUUGACAGAUAACAUGGGUGUUUUUCCAGUUUGGGGCUGUUAUGAAUAAAGCUGCUGUGAACCUUCACAUAUAAA